CCUUCGUCCCUUUUUUUUGGGGGUGGGGUUAGUGGCGAACGGGUGAGUAACACGUGAGUAACCUGCCCCUCACUUCUGGAUAACCGCUUGAAAGGGUGGCUAAUACGGGGUGUUCUGGCCUGCUCGCAUGGGUGGGUUUGGAAAGAUUCGACCGGUUUUGGUUGUUUUGGUGGGGGAUGGGCUCGCGGCCUAUCAGCUUGUUGGUGGGGUGAUGGCCUGCCAAGGCUUUGACGGGUAGCCGGCCUGAGAGGGUGGGCGGUCACACUGGGACUGAGACACGGCCCAGACUCCUACGGGAGGCAGCAGUGGGGAAUAUUGCACAAUGGGCGCAAGCCUGAUGCAGCGACGCCGCGUGAGGGAUGGAGGCCUUCGGGUUGUGAACCUCUUUCGCCAGUGAAGAAGGUCCUGCUCUUUGUGGUGGGGUUGACGGUAGCUGGGUUAAUGAAGCGCCGGCUAACUAC
rnacentral:rRNA from 1 species